AUCUGGCUGAAGAGUCUCAAAUAAGACGAAACAUGCGUUUUUGAU
rnacentral:hammerhead_ribozyme from 1 species